rnacentral:rRNA from 1 species
UUCCCUUAUGUUAUUCGUCAGGAUGAACGCUAGCGGCAGGCUUAACACAUGCAAGUCGAGGGGCAGCGAAUCUAGCUUGCUAGAUGUCGCGCGACCGGCGAACGGGUGCCGUAACGCGUAUAGAAUCUGCCUUGUACAGGAGGAUAGCCUUUAGAAAUGAAGAUUAAUACUCCAUAAUGUUUAGAGAUGGCAUCAUUUUUAAAUUAAAGAUUUAUCGGUACAAGAUGACUAUGCGUCCUAUUAGCUAGAUGCGUAAGGUAACGGCUUACCAUGGCAACGAUAGGUAGGGGGUCUGAGAGGAUUAUCCCCCACACUGGUACUGAGACACGGACCAGACUCCUACGGGAGGCAGCAGUGAGCGAAUAUUGGUCAAUGGAGGCAACUCUGAACCAGCCAUGCCGCGUGCAGGAAGACUGGCCCUAUGGGUGUGUAAACUGCUUUUAUACAGGAAGAAACUUAGUUACGUGUAACUAACUGACGGUACUGUAAGAAUAAGCACCGGCUAACUCCGUGCCAGCAGCCGCGGUAAUACGGAGGGUGCAAGCGUUAUCCAGGAAUCAUUGGGUUUAAAGGGUCCGCAGGCGGUCAAUUAAGUCAGAGGUGAAAUCCCAUAGCUUAACUAUGGAACUGCCUUUGAUACUGGCUUGACUUGAGUUAUACGGAAGUAGAUAGAAUAAGUAGUGUAGCGGUGAAAUGCAUAGAUAGUUACUUAGAAUACCGAUUGCGAAGGCAGUCUACUACGUAUAUACUGACGCUCAUGGGACGAAAGCGUGAGGGAGCGAACAGGAUUAGAUACCCUGGUAGUCCACGCCGUAAACGAUGGACACUAGUUGUUGGGAUUUAUCUCAGUGACUAAGCGAAAGUGAUAAGUGUCCCACAUGGAGACAUGCAGUUU